UACGUAGGGAGCAAGCGUUGUCCGGAAUCAUUGGGCGUAAAGCGCGCGUAGGUGGCCUCAUAAGUCCGCUGUGAAAGUCAAAGGCUCAACCUUUGAAAGCCGGUGGAUACUGUGAGGCUAGAGUACGGAAGAGGCGAGUGGAAUUCCAGGUGUAGCGGUGAAAUGCGUAGAUAUCUGGAGGAACACCGGUGGCGAAGGCGGCAUCCUGGACCAACACUGACGCUGAGGAGCGAAAGCCAGGGGAGCAAACGGG
rnacentral:rRNA from 1 species